rnacentral:ncRNA from 13 species
CGUAGCUCAGUUGGCUAGAGCGUGCGACUGUUAAUCGCGAGGUCGCCGGUUCGAUCCCGGUC